AGCUUUGCGCAGUGGCAGUAUCAUAGCCAAUAAAGUUUAUCUGAGGCACAAUUAUUGCUAGAAAAUUAGAUUAAGAAU
rnacentral:snRNA from 1 species